GAAUGGGGAACCACCUAGGAUAACCUAGUAUCUUGUACUGAAUCCAUAGGUGCAAGGAGGCGAACCAGGGAACUGAAACAUCUAAGUACCCUGAGGAAAAGAAAUCAACCGAGAUUCCCUUAGUAGUGGCGAGCGAACGGGGAUUAGCCCUUAAGCUCAUUGAUUUUAGCGGAACGCUCUGGAAAGUGCGGCCAUAGUGGUGAUAGCCCGUACGCGAAAGGAUCUUUGAAGUGAAAUCGAGUAGGACGGAGCACGAGAAACUUUUGUCUGAACAUGGGGGGGACCAUCCUCCAAGGCUAAAUACUACUGACUGACCGAUAGUGAACCAGUA
rnacentral:rRNA from 1 species